rnacentral:lncRNA from 1 species
GCCCUUGUGGCGAGUAGCUGUUCUGUGGCGAAUUUGAAUCAAGCCAUCAAAAAGAUCAUAACAGAAACAUUUCCCCCCGCAAAAUCUAUACUGUUAUCCUUCACUUAUGUUUAAACAGGGACCCAGAUGAUACAUAUUAUGUUACAUGUGUUCUGAUUGGCUAGAUGACAGUUGUAUGAAAACUUAAACCAAUCAAACUGUGUUUUAUUGAUCUAUAGACAAAUUUACUUACUUUCUUUUUGGCAAUGUAAAAUAUAUUUUGAAGAUUGAAGCAAGAGUAAAUUUCUUAUAAACUGUAAAUAAAAACUUAAGUAUUAUAUAAUGAAUAUUUA